rnacentral:rRNA from 1 species
UACGAGGGGGGCAAGCGUUGUUCGGAAUUAUUGGGCGUAAAGGGUGCGUAGGCGGUUUGGUAAGUCUGAUGUGAAAUCUAUGGGCUCAACUCAUAGUCUGCAUCGGAAACUGCCGGGCUUGAGUGUGGGAGAGGUGAGUGGAAUUCCUGGUGUAGCGGUGAAAUGCGUAGAUAUCAGGGGGAACACCUGUGGCGAAAGCGGCUCACUGGACCAUAACUGACGCUGAUGCACGAAAGCUAGGGGAGCAAACAGG